rnacentral:SRP_RNA from 1 species
UAGCGGUCCCUCCGCGACGAUACCUUGUGAAUCCCGCCAGGCCCGGAAGGGAGCAACGGUAACAAGCGGAUGCGGGCGCCGGGGUGCGGCUGCUGUGG